AUGUCUAAUGUAGGCACCUAUUUAAUGAAAAUCAUCCUAGGAACUCACUCAAGCACUAUUUCUUCCACACUGCAUCUGGAAUAUUUCCUGGGCAAAUGGAAAAAUGAUGAGGCAAGAAUUUGGUGGAGGAAGAAACUGAUUACGAGUUUCAUUGGAGCUGGAAAAGCACAUAAUCUUUCGAUGUCAGACAAGUUGUACUUUCCAACACUACACGAGGAACAUUACUUUCUGUUCGUCGUCGACAUCAAGGGUCGCACGUUUUAUUUUCUGGAUUCUUUGUAUGAUGAGAAGAGCUCAUAUCAUAUGAACAUAAAAAAGAAGAUUAUCUCAAGCUUUAUAUGCACUUGGUACGAAGCUCGGCUUGAGCCAAUGGAUUUCAAUGCAUUCCCUGCUGUUUACCCUAAAGUCCCUCAACAAGAUAACGAUAUUGAUUGUGGCAUUUUCACUAUGAAACUAAUGGGAUGGUGCCCAAGGAAUCCAACCCCUAUAGUUUUUUCACCAAAAGAUGUCCCAGAUGCAAGGAUCCGAUAUGCUGUUGAUCUCAUGUUCAGCCACUACAACACUUUGGAUGACGAGAAGAAGCGUGUCAAGGAGUUCUGCCUAUAG
rnacentral:rRNA from 1 species